rnacentral:lncRNA from 1 species
GACUUGCUCGAGUACUGGAAGGCGUGGCCUGGGGGCUCAACUACUAGGAAACUUUGCCCCCCUAGAGCAAAAUUAGUGCUGACAAAUCUUCAUCCGACGCAAAAAUCAUCCCUAAAAGACAGAACGGCUGGAGAUGCUCUAACCUCUAUUCUAAAUAAAGCAAGUGCUUGGGCAGUUGGUUGGGCCCUUGCAGACAAAAAGUUGAAAGUUGUGUGUUUGAUCCUCAUCAGAAUGAAUUAUAUUUUUGCAAACCACCCUCAUCAGAAUGAAUUAUAUUUUUGCAAACCAACCCGUGAUCGAAUGAUUAGAGGGACAGUGGUAUCCCCAACCUGUCAGGGAUCAAGUCCUGAUGCUUGCAUUAUU